GACGAACGCUGGCGGCGUGCUUAACACAUGCAAGUCGAGCGGUAAGGCCCUUUCGGGGGUACACGAGCGGCGAACGGGUGAGUAACACGUGGGUGACCUGCCCUCAGCUCUGGGAUAAGCCUGGGAAACCGGGUCUAAUACUGGAUAUGACUCCAUGACGCAUGUUGUGGGGUGGAAAGCCUUGUGCGGCUGAGGAUGGGCCCGCGGCCUAUCAGCUUGUUGGUGGGGUGANGGCCUACCAAGGCGACGACGGGUAGCCGGCCUGAGAGGGCGACCG
rnacentral:rRNA from 1 species